CCGACAAUUGAGCACCGGGCGGCAGCAGUGAGCACUGGUUGGGCUGCGUUGUGCAGCGGUGCGGGGCUGCCGCGCCGCCUGGUUCGGCGUGCGGGGCCGGGCCGGACUGAGAGCGCUGUGGAGGGAGGGCUCCGGCGGCAGCGGUGUCGAGCGGCAGCGCCGAGCCGCGCCGCAGAGGGCUUUGCAGUGCAGUUUGUCACAGCUCCAUCAUCCUGCUCUCCAACAGACCCCAGAGGCACCUGACAAAGAAAGACUGAGGGGAAAAAAUGCCCAGUAAUUCCUCGCCUAAGAGCAGUUGGUGCCUUCUAUUGACUGGAAGCUUGCCACAUGGUGAGCUGUUUGUCUGGAGAUGGAUCUAACCAUGGAUCAGCCUAGGGACUGUGUCACUGAAAAUCUUCACGUUGUGUUCUGGGUGCUUGUCUUCCUCACCAAGUGCUUGGUUCUGGAAAAAAAACCUCUCCUGCAUUCUGGGUCUUGCUUUCAAGGUGUUUGCUCUCGUGAUGAUCCUCUGUGGGUAUUGUUGUACCUAUUAAACUGAAUGUGAACCAGUUUAGUAAAUAAA